rnacentral:lncRNA from 1 species
UUUUUUUUUUUUUUUUGAGAUGGAGCCUUGCUCUGUCACCCAGACUGGAGUGCAGUGGCGCGAUCUCAGCUAACUGCAACCUCCGUCCCUCCAGGUUUAAGCAAUUCUCUGCCUCAGCCUUCAAAGUAGCUGGGAUUACAGGCAUGUGCCACCAAACCUGGCUAAUUUUUUUAUAUUUUUAGUAGAGACGGGGUUUCACCAUCUUGGCCAGGCUGGUCUUGAACUCCUGACCUCGUGUUCUACCCGCCUCAGCCUCCCAAAGUGCUGGGAAUACAGGCAUGAGCCACCAUGCCCAGCCUUUUUUUGUUUUGUGUUUUUUGAGACAAGGCCUUGCUAUGUUGCCCAGGCUGGUCUGGAACUCCUGGACUCAAGCAAACCUUCUGCCUCAGCCUCUCAAGUAGCUGGGAUUACAGGGCCAAACCACUGUGUUGGGUGUGGCAUUUUCCAUUCUAAUGGAAACCAAGUAAAUGGUAGAGUCUACUGCUUCAUUCAACCUAAGCCACUUUGCUUUAGCCCCUAAAAAACCUGCUUUAAUUUACUCAAGGCCUUUAACAUAUGUGGUAUAAAAUUGGUAUAUUAUCAGCUUUGAGCAUUUAAGGAACAGUUUAGUAUCCAGAGCCCAAUUUUCUCAUUGAGGCUCCGGAGGCAGUAUGCAUAUGAUUUCUCGGUGACCAGAAGCACUUGCUGUAAUAAUAAAUGUCACAAGGAGUUUCAGAAACAAAUUGUUCCCUUUCUUGCAGUCUCACUUCUGUGUAAACACAAGAUAAGGUUAUUUCUGUCAGGGUUGGCUCUACCUGCCCCAAAAUACUCAUUCUUCUCUCUUUUUUUUGAAACCAGGUCUCACUCUGUCACCCAGGCUGGAGCACUGUGGCGUGAUCUCAGCGGUCUGCAACCUCCGCCUCCCAUGAUCAAGUGAUCCUCCCACCUCAGCUUUGUGAGUAGCUGAGACUAUAGGCGUGUGUCACCACACCCAGCUAAUUUCUGUAUUUUUUUUGUAGAGAUGGGGACUUGCCGUGUUGCCCAGGCUGGUCUCAAACUUCCG